rnacentral:rRNA from 1 species
CAGUAGCCGCGGGAAUACAGAGGGUGCGAGCGUUAAUCGGAUUUACUGGGCGUAAAGCGUGCGUAGGCGGCUUUUUAAGUCGGAUGUGAAAUCCCUGAGCUUAACUUAGGAAUUGCAUUCGAUACUGGGAAGCUAGAGUAUGGGAGAGGAUGGUAGAAUUCCAGGUGUAGCGGUGAAAUGCGUAGAGAUCUGGAGGAAUACCGAUGGCGAAGGCAGCCAUCUGGCCUAAUACUGACGCUGAGGUACGAAAGCAUGGGGAGCAAACAGGAUUAGAUACCCCUGUAGUCCAUGUCUCUUAUAC